AUGACGUGUUUCUUCUGCACCCCUUCCCCAGUUUACCAGAUCUGCUCCCUUCCCCAUGGGCGGUCUGGUUCCCAUGGCAAUGAAACCACCUUCAUCUGCUGUUUUGCAGGCCCCCUCUGCACCACCUUCUCUCUGGUAUGCCCCAAACACACUCAAUGGGGAAACUCUGGAUCUAAAGCUUCAAGCACUGAAUUGCAGCCAGGACCCAGAAAUCAAAGUGGAAGGGACCGAGUACUGGUCCCUUUGACCCCUCUGUAAAUGCAGAAUGGUAGAUAGCUGACACUGGCAGUCCUGGGUGCUUCUGUAUAACUAAGCCAGUGAUAUGACACACUGGGGAAAACGUUCCUGGGAAGAUUUUGCUUGUUAACGGCUAUGACUGUUAAGAAAUGUAAUGGCAAGCUAACAGUUAGUGUAAUGUAAGUACAAGUUUUUAUGAUUGCUUGGAAAUCUCUUAUUAGCUCAUCUGAACCAUGAAUUUUUCUGUAGUACUAGUAUUUUAAUAACAGCUUUUCCACACAAGUAGACAAUCCUCAUGUGAGGACAUGCAUUCUUUAUUUUUCCCUUUUCUGUUACAACCUGGCCAAAGUAAACUGCUAUACUCUCUGCUCUUUUUUUUUUUAAUUCAUCUUAUUUAACACCUGCAAAGCAACAUCAGCAAAAAGAAAAAAAGACAUGUAACUUUGAAGCCCAGUAGACAGAACUAAAAUCGGUGUGCAUAAGGUGGUUUUAUUUUUAUUUUUUUUGACAGGAAGAUGACUAAAGCAAAGGCACGGGUGCCUGAUGCCACUUGAAAAAUUGUGAUCUUAAUCUCAUCUUUAUUGAGUCAUGCUGAAUUGUAGAACGCAUGGACAUUUGGUUGUGUGUACCCCAUUCAACUGUAUUCUGAGAAGUGAAAAUGGCUGAAUUGCAUUCAUAUUGUUGACAGCUUGAUAUGCCUAAUGACAAGGUAAACCUUUUACCUGCAGCAGAGGGCAAGAAACAUAUUUUGAGUGUAUUUCUUUCAACUUAUUCAUCUAGCAGGAGUAGGUAGCUAUCAGUAUGGUGUCUGUCCAUCUGUGAGAGAAUAAUUGUCAGCACAGCCAAUUGUUUUUAGUAUGUGCAAUAUCUGAAUAGUUUGAGACAGCUGUCAUCGUGAUAAGACUGAUGACUGGAAACUAGAAGUAGUGGUGUGACUUACAGUGUGUUGAGAUGUUAGCAAAAUAAUCAUUACAUUGGACUUACUAAAUGAUGCCAGUGAAUUGCAGAUAUUAAGUACAAAGAAGAGCCCUACAAUUUUUCAACUGUUAUUUCUAUCAAGAGAAUAUUUCCAUAAUGUACAGUGAAGUCUUGUACAGGCCACAUAGGCCUAUAUGCUGAAAUAAAUCAAUAACAGCCUUGAUGCCUCA
rnacentral:lncRNA from 1 species